rnacentral:rRNA from 1 species
AACGAACGCUGGCGGCAUGCCUAACACAUGCAAGUCGAACGAGACCUUCGGGUCUAGUGGCGCACGGGUGCGUAACGCGUGGGAACCUGCCCUUAGGUUCGGAAUAACUCCCCGAAAGGGGUGCUAAUACCGGAUAAUGUCUUCGGACCAAAGAUUUAUCGCCUUUGGAUGGGCCCGCGUUGGAUUAGCUAGUUGGUAGGGUAAAAGCCUACCAAGGCGACGAUCCAUAGCUGGUCUGAGAGGAUGAUCAGCCACACUGGGACUGAGACACGGCCCAGACGACGGCGGGGGGCGGGGGUGGGGAAUAGGGGAGGAUGGGCAAAAGACUGGUCGAGGGAGGCGGGGGGGGGGAAGAAGGGCGUAGGGUUUUAAAGUUCUUCGGUGGGGGAAGCAAAUGACGGUACAGGGAAAAAAGCCGCCGGCUAACUCCGUGCAAGCAGGGGCGGUAAUAAUAGGCACACGACUGUCCUGACC